AGUUUGAUCCUGGAUAGGACGAACGCUGGCGGCGUGCUUAACACAUGCAAGUCGAACGGAAAGGCCCUUCGGGGUGCUCGAGUGGCGAACGGGUGAGUAACACGUGGGUGAUCUGCCCUGCACUUUGGGAUAAGCCUGGGAAACUGGGUCUAAUACCGGAUAGGACCACGGCCUUCAUGGGUUGUGGUGGAAAGCUUUUGCGGUGUGGGAUGGGCCCGCGGCCUAUCAGCUUGUUGGUGGGGUAAUGGCCUACCAAGGCGACGACGGGUAGCCGGCCUGAGAGGGUGACCGGCCACACUGGGACUGAGAUACGGCCCAGACUCCUACGGGAGGCAGCAGUGGGGAAUAUUGCACAAUGGGCGCAAGCCUGAUGCAGCGACGCCGCGUGGGGGAUGACGGCCUUCGGGUUGUAAACCUCUUUCAGCACAGACGAAGCGUGAGUGACGGUAUGUGCAGAAGAAGCACCGGCCAACUACGUGCCAGCAGCCGCGGUAAUACGUAGGGUGCGAGCGUUGUCCGGAAUUACUGGGCGUAAAGAGCUCGUAGGUGGUUUGUCGCGUUGUUCGUGAAAACUCACAGCUUAACUGUGGGCGUGCGGGCGAUACGGGCAGACUGGAGUACUGCAGGGGAGACUGGAAUUCCUGGUGUAGCGGUGGAAUGCGCAGAUAUCAGGAGGAACACCGGUGGCGAAGGCGGGUCUCUGGGCAGUAACUGACGCUGAGGAGCGAAAGCGUGGGGAGCGAACAGGAUUAGAUACCCUGGUAGUCCACGCCGUAAACG
rnacentral:rRNA from 1 species